ACUGGUUUACGCCAUAAGCGAGGUAUAGAGUUCCUACGUUAUAAUAUACUAUCUGUAGGAACUUCAUACCGUGCUCUUGGAGAGCCAAUAAAC
rnacentral:pre_miRNA from 1 species